UUUGUACAGAAGGUUUUCGAGUCCAAGACAAAGUUCUUGGACAUGGACACCAUUGACAGAUAGACACCAGCCGCCUUACCGUUAAACAUGCCAGUGACGCUUGUGGGGAAAGCUGAGCAUUGCGACCCGAAGAGAAGAAGAGGAAAAAAGAGUGAAGGUCGUCAAGGGACUUUUCAAGGCCGACCUCCAUCUUUCGACACCGCUGCCGCUGGAGAAAGACCCAGAAGGAGAGCUCCGAACAUUUAAAAAAGAAGAAAAAAGAGGCCAUAUGGGACAUAAAAGGGAUUGGUGUCAAGGAAACAGAAAAAGAGAAGAUAAAGGAAA